GCCUACGGGGCGCAGCAGUGGGGGAUAUUGCACAAUGGGGGGAACCCUGAUGCAGCGACGCCGCGUGGGCGAUGGAGUACUUCAGUAUGUAAAGCCCUAUCAGCAGGGAAGAAAAUGACGGUACCUGACUAAGAAGCCCCGGCUAAAUACGUGCCAGCAGCCGCGGUAAUACGUAUGGGGCAAGCGUUAUCCGGAUUUACUGGGUGUAAAGGGAGCGUAGACGGCAGUGCAAGUCUGAAGUGAAAGCCUGGGGCUCAACCCCGGAACUGCUUUGGAAACUGUGCUGCUUGAGUACCGGAGGGGUA
rnacentral:rRNA from 1 species